rnacentral:lncRNA from 1 species
AAUUGCAUCGAACGGAGACCGGGAAGGGCCUCAUCGGAGGCAAAAACAGAGGGAAGUUGCGACGGAGUUUUCCGGCCGAUUGGCCAGUGGUUUGGCUUCGGUUUGGCGAUAGGCGGAUUCAGCAUCGAAAACGAGCCAGGGGGAAUUCACCUCGAUUGGCGGUCGAAAAAUUCUCCGAAGCGGCGGCGGGUGGCGGCGGCCGGCUCCUCCAGCGUUUGGUUCUUCUUCUCCGGUGAGGCACUGGCGGCUAGGGUUUUGUGGUCGGGUGUGGGUGGGGUUAUUUAUACCCUUCGCCUUUUAAUCUCAACCGUCCAUCAAGAUUAAAACUGGACCGUCCGAUCGCGAUUUAUUUGGGAUUAAAUCUGGACCGUCCAUCGCGAUGCGAUCUGAGCCAUCUGUGCCUGAUUGAAUCUGGGCCGUCCGUACGCGUGAGAUCUGGGUCGUCCGUGUGCACAUUUGAUCUGGACCGUCCGUGCGCGCGGGAACGGAUUUGGGCCGUCCGAUCGCGCGCAUGCGGAUCGCCCACGUGGCCCGUCUCAUGUCAGCGUUUCCUUGCCACGCGGCGUGUCCUGGUUGGCCGGGGCUGUUGACUGGGCUGCUGACAUGGCUGCUGACGUGGCACAACUUUUUCAAAUUGCGUUUAGACUCCCGAUUUCUGAUUUUCUUUUCAAAAACACCCCCAUAAUUCAAAUUUUCACCCCUUUUUCCUAAAAUCAAUUUCAAUUAAAUCCAAAAAAUAAUUUUACUCUAUUUUAUCAUUAUUAUUAUUUUUAUUUUCAUUAAAUUAAAUUAAUUAUAUUAAAUUAAAUUAAAUUAAAAUCUUAUAAAUUAAAUAUAAAAAAAUUAAAUUCAAAUUCAAAUACAAUAAAUAAAAUAAUACAAAAAAAUAAUUUGGGUGUUACAACUCUCCACCCCUUAAAGAAAUUUGGUCUCCCAAAUUUGUCUCUUACUCUUGGUCGAACAAAUGGGGAUACUGGGCUCUAAAAUCUGAUUCUAGCUCCCAAGUAGCCUCCCUGGGCGUGUGGUUCUGCCACACGACCUUUACAAAUGAUAUUUUUCGAUUGCGGAGUAUCCUGCUCUUUCAGUCUGUGAUACCGACUGG